rnacentral:rRNA from 1 species
UACGUAGGGGGCAAGCGUUGUCCGGAUUUAUUGGGCGUAAAGAGCUCGUAGGCGGCUUGUCGCGUCGUCCGUGAAAACCUGCAGCUCAACUGCAGGCUUGCGGUCGAUACGGGCAGGCUAGAGUUCGGUAGGGGAGACUGGAAUUCCUGGUGUAGCGGUGAAAUGCGCAGAUAUCAGGAAGAACACCCGUGGCGAAGGCGGCUCUCUGGGACGGUACUGACGCUGAGACGCGAAAGCGUGGGGAGCGAACAGG